rnacentral:rRNA from 1 species
GAGUUUGAUCCUGGCUCAGGACGAACGCUGGCGGCGUGCCUAACACAUGCAAGUCGAACGGGGAUAUUGAUUUCGGUUGAUAUCCUAGUGGCGAACGGGUGGGUAACGCGUGAGCAACCUGACCUUUUGAGGGGGAUAACACCUGGAAACAAGUGCUAAUACCGCAUAAGACCACGGAGCGGCAUCGUUCAGGGGUCAAAGGAGGAAUCCGCAGAAGGAGGGGCUCGCGUCCCAUUAGAUAGUAGGCGGGGUAACGGCCUACCAAGGCGACGAUCAGUAGCCGACCUGAGAGGGUGAUCGGCCACACUGGAACUGAGACACGGUCCAGACUCCUACGGGAGGCAGCAGUGGGGAAUAUUGGGCAAUGGGGGAAACCCUGACCCAGCAACGCCGCGUGAGGGAAGAAGGCUUUCGAGUUGUAAACCUCUGUCCUAUGGGAAGAAGAAAGUGACUGUACCAUAGGAGGAAGCUCCGGCUAACUACGUGCCAGCCGCCGCGGUAAUAC